rfam:Streptococcus sinensis strain HKT4 C5413, whole genome shotgun sequence.
AUAGGAAUAAGUCUCUUUUUAGUAAUGUUUCGCAACUCUACUAUAACGAAUUUAUUCCUUUUU